rnacentral:rRNA from 1 species
AUACGGAGGAUGCGAGCGUUAUCCGGAUUUAUUGGGUUUAAAGGGUGGGUAGGCUGUGCGUUAAGUCAGGGGUGAAAUGCCGUCGCUCAACGACGGAGCUGCCCUUGAUACUGGCGUGCUGGAGUACGGAUGCCGUUGGAGGAAUGAGUGGUGUAGCGGUGAAAUGCUUAGAUAUCACUCAGAACACCGAUUGCGAGGGCAUCUGACGAAUCCGUCACUGACGCUGAGGCACGAAAGCGUGGGGAUAGAACAGGAUUAGAUACCCUGGUAUUCCACGCCGUAAACGAUGAUGACUAACCGUCGGCGAUAGACAGCCGGUGGCCAAGCGAAAGCGAUAAGUCAUCCACCUGGGGAGUACGUCGGCAACGAUGAAACUCAAAGGAAUUGACGGGG